UUCCAGCUCGAAUGUUGGAUGUUAUCCUUUAAUCUCCCAUGGUGUGUCAUUUCAUACUACUAUACCAUAGUGGCAAUAAUAUUACACAUUUUAAAUGUUAAAAAAGUGCUCCCCUGUAUCAUAUAUCAUUGUCAAGUUACUCCAUUGAAUCAAGCACUGUUUAUCAGCAGGACCUGCCUCCCCAGGAGAGACAACAUGUGUUGUUACAGAGAAAAUCACUGAGAAGAGCCAAACGUACUAAACCACAGCUGAUAUAAAACACAGGAACAGUAGCUUCCCUUCACAUCUAUCUUCCUUCAAGCUCAAAUGCUUCUGGGCCACCUGAACAUCUGUUCUGGAAGGUUUCCCAUCCCUCUGAAUGACAUUUUGUGGGACUACAGGAGACACAGAAGAGGGGAAAGCAUCUCUCCAAGGCCUCAGAAAUUCAAUGAAUGGAAGUAAAUCAACUGGAUCCUGACCUUUCACAUGUGUCCACAUGUGACACAUUAGGAAUCAAAAAGAGAGCGGACAGAGGUCAAGCAGACUUCCCAUGGAAGCGGUUCUACUCCCUGGGAGCAACCACAGAAAAGUAAUCUUCACCAACUGUUCCUGUGAAGCACCCCUUAUCCAGAAGAAAGGAGGGACUAUAAGUAAAGGUGUCACCAGUUACUUGUGGUCUGCAUGGGGAAGGGCUCUUCCCUUGACAUUUUGAGACUCUAUAUUUUUCAGCCUAAUAGAGACCAAGAUAAUAAAGGUUGCCUGUUCUUUUCCCUCUACCGAAAGG